CGCGGCCUAUCAGCUUGUUGGUGAGGUAAUGGCUCACCAAGGCGACGACGGGUAGCCGGCCUGAGAGGGCGACCGGCCACACUGGGACUGAGACACGGCCCAGACUCCUACGGGAGGCAGCAGUGGGGAAUAUUGCACAAUGGGCGAAAGCCUGAUGCAGCGACGCCGCGUGAGGGAUGACGGCCUUCGGGUUGUAAACCUCUUUCAGCAGGGAAGAAGCGAAAGUGACGGUACCUGCAGAAGAAGCGCCGGCUAACUACGUGCCAGCAGCCGCGGUAAUACGUAGGGCGCAAGCGUUGUCCGGAAUUAUUGGGCGUAAAGAGCUCGUAGGCGGUCUGUCGCGUCGGAUGUGAAAGCCCGGGGCUUAACCCCGGGUCUGCAUUCGAUACGGGCAGACUAGAGUGUGGUAGGGGAGAUCGGAAUUCCUGGUGUAGCGGUGAAAUGCGCAGAUAUCAGGAGGAACACCGGUGGCGAAGGCGGAUCUCUGGGCCAUUACUGACGCUGAGGAGCGAAAGCGUGGGGAGCGAACAGGAUUAGAUACCCUGGUAGUCCACGCCGUAAACGUUGGGCGCUAGGUGUGGGUCCCUUCCACGGGGUCUGUGCCGCAGCUAACGCAUUAAGCGCCCCGCCUGGGGAGUACGG
rnacentral:rRNA from 1 species